GUAACACGUGGGCAACCUGCCUGUAAGUUGGGGAUAACUCCGGGAAACCGGGGCUAAUACCGAAUGAUAAGAUGUGGCGCAUGCCACGCCUUUGAAAGAUGGUUUCGGCUAUCGCUUACAGAUGGGCCCGCGGUGCAUUAGCUAGUUGGUAGGGUAAUGGCCUACCAAGGCAACGAUGCAUAGCCGACCUGAGAGGGUGAUCGGCCACACUGGGACUGAGACACGGCCCAGACUCCUACGGGAGGCAGCAGUAGGGAAUCUUCCGCAAUGGACGAAAGUCUGACGGAGCAACGCCGCGUGUAUGAAGAAGGUUUUCGGAUCGUAAAGUACUGUUGUUAGAGAAGAACAAGGAUAAGAGUAACUGCUUGUCCCUUGACGGUAUCUAACCAGAAAGCCACGGCUAACUACGUGCCAGCAGCCGCGGUAAUACGUAGGUGGCAAGCGUUGUCCGGAUUUAUUGGGCGUAAAGCGCGCGCAGGCGGUCUUUUAAGUCUGAUGUGAAAGCCCCCGGCUUAACCG
rnacentral:rRNA from 1 species